rnacentral:rRNA from 1 species
AAUGAACGUUGGCGGCGUGGAUUAGGCAUGCAAGUCGAGCGAGAACCGUAGCAAUACGGGGACAGCGGCGAACGGUAGAGUAACGCGUGGAGUAUCUGCCCUUGGAUUCGGGAUAGCCGCGGGAAACUGCGGGUAAUACCGAAUAACGUCUCCGGACCAAAGGUGUGAUUCCGUCUGAGGAUGACUCCGCGUCCUACUAGCUUGUUGGUGAGGUAAUGGCUCACCAAGGCGACGAUGGGUACCGGGUGUGAGAGCAUGACCCGGCUCACUGGGACUGAGACACUGCCCAGACACCUACGGGUGGCAG